rnacentral:snRNA from 1 species
CUUAUAGUUUGAUAUCGGAUAUAUCCUUUAUUUGAGGACUAUAUAUUCAAUGUUUUUUUGGAACAGGGAGAUGGAAUAGGAGCUUGCUCCAUCCACUCCACGCAUCAUCCUGAUAUUGCAGUAUCUCCAGGAAUGGUGC